GACGAACGCUGGCGGCGUGCUUAACACAUGCAAGUCGAACGGAAAGGCCCUGCUUUUGUGGGGUGCUCGAGUGGCGAACGGGUGAGUAACACGUGAGUAACCUGCCCUUGACUUUGGGAUAACUUCAGGAAACUGGGGCUAAUACCGGAUAGGAGCUCCUGCUGCAUGGUGGGGGUUGGAAAGUUUCGGCGGUUGGGGAUGGACUCGCGGCUUAUCAGCUUGUUGGUGGGGUAGUGGCUUACCAAGGCUUUGACGGGUAGCCGGCCUGAGAGGGUGACCGGCCACAUUGGGACUGAGAUACGGCCCAGACUCCUACGGGAGGCAGCAGUGGGGAAUAUUGCACAAUGGGCGGAAGCCUAAUGCAGCAACGCCGCGUGCGGGGUGACGGCCUUCGGGUUGUAAACCGCUUUCGCCUGUGACGAAGCGUGAGUGACGGUAAUGGGUAAAGAAGCACCGGCUAACUACGUGCCAGCAGCCGCGGUGAUACGUAGGGUGCGAGCGUUGUCCGGAUUUAUUGGCGUAAAGGGCUCGUAGGUGGUUGAUCGCGUCGGAAGUGUAAUCUUGGGGCUUAACCCUGAGCGUGCUUUCGAUACGGGUUGACUUGAGGAAGAUAGGGGAGAAUGGAAUUCCUGGUGGAGCGGUGGAAUGCGCAGAUAUCAGGAGGAACACCAGUGGCGAAGGCGGUUCUCUGGGCCUUUCCUGACGCUGAGGAGCGAAAGCGUGGGGAGCGAACAGGCUUAGAUACCCUGGUAGUCCACGCUGUAAACGGUGGGUACUAGGUGUGGGGUCCAUUCCACGGGUUCCGUGCCGUAGCUAACGCUUUAAGUACCCCGCCUGGGGAGUACGGCCGCAAGGCUAAAACUCAAAGGAAUUGACGGGGCCCCGCACAAGCGGCGGAGCAUGCGGAUUAAUUCGAUGCAACGCGUAGAACCUUACCUGGGUUUGACAUGGAUCGGGAGCGCUCAGAGAUGGGUGUGCCUCUUUUGGGGUCGGUUCACAGGUGGUGCAUGGCUGUCGUCAGCUCGUGCCGUGAGAUGUUGGGUUAAGUCCCGCAACGAGCGCAACCCUUGUUCACUGUUGCCAGCACGUUAUGGUGGGGACUCAGUGGAGACCGCCGGGGUCAACUCGGAGGAACGUGGGGAUGACGUCAAGUCAUCAUGCCCCUUAUGUCCAGGGCUUCACGCAUGCUACAAUGGCUGGUACAGAGAGUGGCGAGCCUGUGAGGGUGAGCGAAUCUCGGAAAGCCGGUCUCAGUUCGGAUUGGGGUCUGCAACUCGACCUCAUGAAGUCGGAGUCGCUAGUAAUCGCAGAUCAGCAACGCUGCGGUGAAUACGUUCCCGGGGCU
rnacentral:rRNA from 1 species